AAAACGACUCUCGGCAACGGAUAUCUCGGCUCUCGCAUCGAUGAAGAACGUAGCGAAAUGCGAUACUUGGUGUGAAUUGCAGAAUCCCGUGAACCAUCGAGUCUUUGAACGCAAGUUGCGCCCGAAGCCAUUUCGGCCGAGGGCACGUCUGCCUGGGCGUCACG
rnacentral:rRNA from 1 species